rnacentral:tRNA from 1 species
GGGGUCGUAGCUCAGUUGGUAGAGCGCCGCAAUGGCAUUGCGGAGGUCAGGGGUUCGAAUCCCCUCGGCUCCACCA